UCAAUUUUAAGCGUGAAAGUGAAAGAAGAGAUGAGGGUUUUUUUUUUUGCUCUGUUCUGUUUGUGUGGUCAGAAAAGAGAGAAAGAGAGAAAAUCAGAGCGAGAGAAAGAGAGAACAUCAGAAAAGAACAAACCCUAGUUAGAAGGUAGAAGUUGUUCAACAACCACUUUAGAAUUGUAGGCUUGUAGCAAGCCUGAUCGAGUACAGUUGAAUUCCAGGUUGAUAGGCUACGAUGCCUACUGACCGUCCACAGUAGACCUGUUAUGGAUGCUCGCUAUAUGAUGGGUACAGGUCGUUCUUGUCAGCAGCGUGAUAAUAUCACAGUAGACCAUCAUUAUCGUGUUGAUAUAUUUAAUGCUACAAUUGAUUGUCAGUUAUUGGAGUUGGAUCGUAGGUUUCCAGAAGACACCAUAGAGUUACUGAGCUUUAGCUCGUGUUUGGAUCCUAGAGAUUCUUUUAAGUCAUUCAAUGUAGAUAGUCUUUGUAAUCUUGCUGAGAAGUUCUAUCAUCUAGAUUUCAGUCCGCAAGAGGUACACAUUUUGAGAAAUGAGUUACAACAUUAUGGCCAGGAUGUAGUUAGUCAUUUGGAUUUUCAGAACUUAUCAACUGUUUCUGAGUUGUGUCGAAAGCUAGUGGUUACCAAGAAGGCAGAAGCUUACCCAAUGAUAUUUUUCAACAAUGAAAUUAGUUAAAACAGCUGCUCGCAACAAAAUGGAAGAAGAUUUUCUUAGGGAUUGCAUGAUGAUUAGCAUUGAACGAGUCAUUGCAGGAGCUAUCGAUAUUGAUUCAAUCAUAGAUGGAUUUGACGACGUUGGCAGUCGCAGGGUGCCACUUAAAUAGUGAUAGUCAGGCUUUGGAAGAACACUUGUAUGUGUAUAUUUUGGGUAAUAUGGGUUUGUGACUAUUUUGGUAAAACACUUUUACGUGUAUAUUUUGGUAAAACUUAAUAUAUAUAUAUAUAUAUAUGUGAAAUCCUUUUUUUGGAUUCAAGAUGUUCAAUGGGCUCUUGGUGUUUGUAUGUGGGAUGUCGUUAGUACUACCAAAUUGAUUGUAAUACUGGUGGAAAAGACCGUGACAGGUAAUAACUAACGUUAAUUUGGGGUCUUGUAAAUUGUUUGCACGUUAUUGCUUGGUUUUUUUUGUUUGCAGGUAUGGGAUGUGCUCGCAAACCCAUAAAAAGUUCUACAAUUGUCUGGAUUACUUAUUGGAGUUCAGAAACUCUGCAAUUGUCAUUGACUAGCCCCUACUCUUGAAUCCUGGUUCUGCCCCUGCUUUGGGUGAAGGUCCGUUUGAAGACCCAGCACUAGUAGUGUAAGACGUCAUGGAGCUAGACGAAUUGUGUGCGUCACAUUCUCACCAACGCUAGAAAAUAAUGCGAGAGAAAAAGAGAAUACUGUAUGCAACUAAGAGCAGUUCACAACAUCACGAACGCUCCAGGCCAACUUGUUUGAAGCAAAAUGAAAGUUGUGCAAGGGUAUUGCCAUGAGUACAAAUGUCCAAACAUGGCACCCGGUUUUAACUUUUAAGCCACGCCCGUUCACAAUACUAGUGGUCCUAGUCUCAACCAUAAACGAUGCCGAUCAGGAAUCGGCGGAUGUUGCUUUUAGGACUCCGCCGACACCUUAUGAGAAAUCAAAGUUUUUGGGUUU